rnacentral:rRNA from 1 species
CAGGGAAUCUUGCGCAAUGGGCGAAAGCCUGACGCAGCGACGCCGCGUGAGGGAAGAAGGCCUGCGGGUCGUAAACCUCUUUUCUCGGGGAAGAUAGUGACGGUACCCGAGGAAUAAGCCUCGGCUAACUACGUG